GACGAACGCUGGCGGCGUGCUUAACACAUGCAAGUCGAACGGAAAGGCCCUGCUUUUGUGGGGUGCUCGCGUGGCGAACGGGUGAGUAACACGUGAGUAACCUGCCCUGGACUUUGGGAUAACUUCAGGAAACUGCGGCUAAUACCGGCUAGGAGCUCCUGCUGCAGGGGGGGGGUUGGAACGUUUCGGCGGUUGGGGAUGGACUCGCGGCUUAUCAGCUUGUUGGUGGGGUAGUGGCUUACCAAGGGUUUGACGGGUAGCCGGCCUGAGAGGGUGACCGGGCUCAUUGGGACUGCGGUACGGACCAGACUGCUACGGGAGGCAGCAGUGGGGAAUAUUGCACAAUGGGCGGAAGUCUGAUGCGGCAACGCCGGGUGCGGGAUGACGGCCUUCGGGUUGUAAACCGCUUUCGCCUGUGACGAAGCGGGAGUGACGGUAAUGGGUAAAGAAGCACCGGCUAACUACGUG
rnacentral:rRNA from 1 species